rnacentral:rRNA from 1 species
AACGAACGCUGGCGGCAGGCUUAACACAUGCAAGUCGAACGCAUCCUUCGGGGUGAGUGGCAGACGGGUGAGUAACGCGUGGGAACGUGCCCUUCAGUUCGGGAUAACCCAGGGAAACUUGGGCUAAUACCGGAUACGUGCGAGAGCAGAAAGAUUUAUCGGCGAAAGAUUAGCCCGCGUCCGAUUAGCUAGUUGGUGAGGUAAUGGCUCACCAAGGCUCCGAUCGGUAGCUGGUCUGAGAGGAUGACCAGCCACACUGGGACUGAGACACGGCCCAGACUCCUACGGGAGGCAGCAGUGGGGAAUAUUGGACAAUGGGCGCAAGCCUGAUCCAGCCAUGCCGCGUGAGUGAUGAAGGCCUUAGGGUUGUAAAGCUCUUUCACCCACGACGAUGAUGACGGUAGUGAGAGAAGAAGCCCCGGCUAACUUCGUGCCAGCCGCCGCCGUAAUAC